rnacentral:tRNA from 2 species
AGGAAUUUAGGUUAAUAUAGACCAAGAGCCUUCAAAGCUCUAAGCAAAUGAGUGUACAUUUAAUUCCUG